rnacentral:rRNA from 1 species
GCAUGGCCCAUGGAAGAAAAGGUGGCCUCUACCUGUAAGCUAUCGCCUGAAGAGGGGUUUGCGUCUGAUUAGCUGGUUGGAGGGGUAACGGCCCACCAAGGCGACGAUCAGUAGCCGGUCUGAGAGGAUGAACGGCCACACUGGAACUGAGACACGGUCCAGACUCCUACGGGAGGCAGCAGUGGGGAAUCUUCCGCAAUGGGCGAAAGCCUGACGGAGCAACGCCGCGUGAGUGAUGACGGCCUUCGGGUUGUAAAACUCUGUGAUCCGGGACGAAAAGGCAGAGUGCGAAGAACAAACUGCAUUGACGGUACCGGAAAAGCAAGCCACGGCUAACUACGUGCCAGCAGCCGCGGUAAUACGUAGGUGGCAAGCGUUGUCCGGAAUUAUUGGGCGUAAAGCGCGCGCAGGCGGCUUCCCAAGUCCCUCUUAAAAGUGCGGGGCUUAACCCCGUGAUGGGAAGGAAACUGGGAAGCUGGAGUAUCGGAGAGGAAAGUGGAAUUCCUAGUGUAGCGGUGAAAUGCGUAGAGAUUAGGAAGAACACCGGUGGCGAAGGCGACUUUCUGGACGAAAACUGACGCUGAGGCGCGAAAGCGUGGGGAGCAAACAGGAUUAGAUACCCUGGUAGUCCACGCCGUGAACGAUGGAUACUAGGUGUAGGAGGUAUCGACCCCUCCUGUGCCG